UGCUAUGGCAGCUGUGCGUGUGGGCGCCUUCGGGCGCGCCGGGUUUUCUCUGUGGACCGGUCCGUCAACCCGCGCACAGUCGCCACCCUC
rnacentral:antisense_RNA from 1 species